rnacentral:rRNA from 1 species
UGACCUCAAAUCAGGUAGGGCUACCCGCUGAACUUAAGCAUAUCAAUAAGCGGAGGAAAAGAAACUAACAAGGAUUCCCCUAGUAACGGCGAGUGAACAGGGAAGAGCUCAAAUUUGUAAUCUGGCGUCCUUUGGGCGUCCGAGUUGUAAUCUAUAGAAGCGUUUUCCGUGCUGGACCAUGUCCAAGUCCCUUGGAACAGGGUAUCAAAGAGGGUGAUAAUCCCGUGCUUGACAUGACGACCAGUGCUCUGUGAUACGUUCUCUACGAGUCGAGUUGUUUGGGAAUGCAGCUCAAAAUGGGUGGUGAGUUCCAUCUAAAGCUAAAUAUUGGCGAGAGACCGAUAGCGAACAAGUACCGUGAGGGAAAGAUGAAAAGCACUUUGGAAAGAGAGUUAAACAGUACGUGAAAUUGUUGAAAGGGAAACGAUUGAAGUCAGUCGUGUCCAAGGGGUUCAGCCGGUUCUGCCGGUGUAUUCCCCUUGGACGGGUCAACGUCAGUUUGGAUCGGUGGAAAAGGGCAGUUGGAAGGUAGCAGCUCCGGCUGUGUUAUAGCCUUCUGUCGCACACACUGGUCCAGACUGAGGCAUGCAGCUCGCCCUCGUGGCUGGGGUUAUCCCACAUUCGAGCUUAGGAUGUUGACAUAAUGGCUUUAAACGAC